UCACGCAGCUACUCACCUAUCCGCAAAAGAAGAAGAGAUUCGCCCAGCUUCAUGGAGGCUCGCAGGAUCACCAGUCCUUAAAGGUCCCGACACCAGGACAACGGGCUACUGCUGAACCCAAUUGCUGCCGGCUAGUCACCCCGGUAACAGUUGCCGUGCAGCAGGACCCUGAUACCGUGACUGAAGUUUGGCUGAGCAGCAACUCAUCAGAGCUCCCAUGAGUAAACUGGGCUUCCUCCUCUGUCCUUUCUCUGCUUCUUCAUCUCAUUCCUGAAACUCACUCCGGCUCUAGAGCCGCACCCUGCUGUAUUUCUGCACUACUGUUGUAACACAAAGGAUGCAGAGAUUAAAGCGCUAUCAAGGUUUAUUAGAGUGGAAGCCCCCCUCUUU
ensembl:lncRNA